GGUCUUAACACUGAGCCACAUCCCCCACACCCAGUGCCUCCCACCCCCUCCCUGGGCCCAACUGUAAUAAAACAUUCUGUUCACGGGCAGAGGCUGGUGGGUUAGGGUCUGGGGUCCCUGGGCUUCAGACUUCUCAUAUGUGAAGGGGAGAUACCCCAUUACCCACCAAGGCUGUGUGAAGAUGUGGUGAGACAAGACAGAGAGCAGGAGAGCAUGAGAAGCGUCCUACAUGGCAAGGGCCACUGAGGCAGGAAGUACUUGCUGAGAGAACAACGAGCAAUACGGACACAAUCCCUACUGAGAACAUCCCACAGGAGACUUCUCGGAGGACGCAGGAUUUAGACAGAACUGAAGGAUGCGAUGGGAAUAUCAAAGGAUUCAAUGGAACUAUGCAUAUGAAGCCCUCAGCACACUGCCUGUAAUAGA